UAAACAUACUUAAUGAUAGCAGAAAGUGUACAGUGUAUGAUGAUUAAAGAUCAAUUCCUCUACAGCUUCAAUAUAUUCUAGGAUGAUGAAGUUCUGUUACUUGGUAUUCCAGAAGCUGGAAUUGAUGUUGAAGUUCAACAACCUGUAAGCCCACCUAAGGAGAUUUCUUUUUAAUUAGGGGAAAAAAUAGAUCCUACUUUUUGGAACAUUACAAUCUGUGAGGAGCACAUUUUUCAAGAUGUGAAGGAGGGAAUAGUGGUUGGAAAAAAACACAGCUGCAGUUGGUCAUUAUCAGCUAAGGUGUAAGUACAGGAAAGUAGGUGGGACUUGGAGAAGGUGCAGAGUGCUACAGCCUGUGUGAGCCCCUCUCCUUUUGAUGGUGAGGGACAGAGCUGUUGAACUUUGCAGCCCUGACUGCUGCUAGGAUGAGUUUCUGCCUUUCUUUGGUUGGUUUAUUGCAUUGGUGUUUUGAAUGGUUCUUCCUUUAUAUUAAUUGUUUGUCUCUUCUCUCAGCAGAGUAUGGGCAAUGGAAUGUAAGAAGAGAGACCAUGGGAACAAGGUCUGUCAGAGAGAGGAGAAGCCUCAAGAUUUAACCCACACAGUGCUCAGGUUUCAAAUGCCCACAAUUAAUGAAACUGAGACAGAGGAAAUAUGGAAGAACACAGCAGAGUACUCUCAAGCAAACUGGACCAGUCAGACCUUGGUGAGUGUUACUGGAUGGAGGGGUCAGUGAGAAGCUGCACAAGCCUUGCAGUGCCUGAGGAGUCCAUUCACACUCCACGUUCCAGCUCUCUGCAGCAUCUUCUGAGUACAGUUGCUUCAGGACUGGCUGGAGAACAGAAGUUGGCAAAGCACAGCACCCCACUCUCCUCUGAGCAAAAGGAAGCCUGAGGAGGUACAGACACCAUUUGUACACAGCUGUGAGUGGCACGGAAUGGACACGGGGUCUCCAGUUCUUUAUGGUAAGGAUGAGACUUAUUUUCCAUCAUCUUCAUGCUCCCAUGUCCUUAAUGUGUUCCCCAGGCCUUCUCACUAUCAGACUGAACCUCUCAGAUGCAAAGUAGCAGAAAGUAAAGCAAUUUGAACUCCUUUGAGCAGCUCUGGUGGCUUAGGGAGUUCUUUCAUUCCUGAAAGAAAACAAGCAGCUUGUUAGAAAAACACACAACCUUGUAUCUGAGUAUAAAUCAGACCUGCCUGGUGUCAUUACCUAUUUACUGCCUGUACCAGCCUGACUGAGGUGUCUCAAGUGGCUCUGAGCUGUUAAGGGGCAGAGGUGGGAACUGGCACAGCUCACUGUCUCCAGUAAAUACAAAAACAAGGACAGUAGCUUUUUUUUUUUAGACUUGCAAA